rnacentral:rRNA from 1 species
CGUAGGAUGCAAGCGUUGUCCGGAAUUAUUGGGCGUAAAGAGAACGUAGGCGGUUCCAUAAGUUCGGUUUAAAGACCGGGCUCAACCUCGGGAGUGGAUUGAAGACUGUGGGACUAGAGGAUGUCAGAGGAUGGUGGAAUUCCAAGUGUAGCGGUGAAAUGCGUAGAUAUUUGGAGGAACACCUGUGGCGAAAGCGGCCAUCUGGGGCAUUCCUGACGCUGAGGUUCGAAAGCUCGGGGAGCAAACAGGAUU